CAAGUGGCAUUAAAAACUAGUGCUAUGUAUUUUCCCUAAAUCUCUCCUUAUGCCGUGAGUCUUGGGGCUAUUGUUGCAGCCAUUUACAGUUCACAUGGUUCUGGUCCCGUAAUGGGGAAUUCAGUACUUAAUUCAAAUAUCUCUCUAUGCAUUUCCUCUCAUUUUUCCAACACACGGCUCCAUCUUUGGUACCUUUGUGCCUCAUUGAUCUAUUUUAGCAGAGACUGUUUCUCCACACAGGAGAGGUAUUAGAAAUGCACCAAAGGCUUUGAAACCUAUCCCAGUAAUAAUCAAGUGCAAGGUAUGCGGCCGUGUCAAGCUACCUCACUUCUUCUGUUGCAGCGGGAUCAAGCCAAAUCCUGAAGAAACCAACAAUUAGUGUUCUUGAUCUGCUGCAUGAAUUGAAGUUUACGUGAGAUGAACUUUGAUCUACUGAGCACGUUGUCGCUUAGAUUUGGAUGUGAUCAUUUUUACCAGAUUAUGUACUCCUCUUUGCUUGCCAUUUCUACUUCUGUUAGUAGUACUCAGUACACAUCUUGCAGUUGUUGAGCAGGAUGAGACUCUCUCUCUGCUCAGUUCUGAACAAUGCUUAUGAUGAAUUUUGACCCGUGUU